AGAACUUGACCCUGUCAACUUGAAAUAAUCAGAAGAAUUAGAACCCAGUUUGAAAGAGGUUAUUUAGGCUUUGAGAAGCUGAGAAUAUAGAAUAUCCUUCCAGGAAACACAGAUGCCAGAGAAAUGAGCAUGGCCUCAUGGGAGAAUAUGUCUCUCCAACUGAGUCCGUUCCUUCCCCUAGAACAGGGGAAGGAAUGAAAGGAAUUCCGCGUUGUGGCACAUCCCAGAAUAGUUCCACCAGGAAAGAUCAAUGUGGAAAUCAAUGAGCCUCCUAUUGAUAUUCUGGGAUGGGAACAAGAAUAGCAGCCCAUGGCAAGCUGUGGUGAAACAGCCAAUCACGUUAUUGUCAGUGGUCCCCUGGGAUCACGUGCCUGUUAUGGAAGAAGCAAUGGAGCCAGGGGAGAAAUGGACAUCAUCUAGAGGUUUGGACUUGGGGAAGUGCAACUCCAUUGCUUUUAGUUGCAAUAGCUGGAGGAGACUUCAGGUUAUUUUCCACUGUAGAAAGGGUGGGUCUCCAUUGUGAAGUUGUAUUUAUGGAAAUAAGGAAGUAUGUAUGCACCAGGUGAGAAGAAGGGUAGGAGGGCUAUUAUAACCCUUGCCUUUUAUGAGUUAUGACCCUGCAUCCCUUUUUUGAGCUGCCAGCCUGCUCUUUGUGAUUUGGUGCAAGGCUUCCCACACAACCCAGUGCUGACUAUAGGGGUGAACUUAGGACUAAGUUAGAGCACUCGGAAUCUUUUUCCCUAGACAUUGAAUCUUGACCAUAGAUACACAGUGAUGGAUGGUGACUGCAGUUGUGGCCUUCAAUGGCAAUGUUUAAAGACAAGGUCUGUGAACUCCUGCUGCUGAGAUCUCUGAAACCAGAGCAGCCCUGUACCCUUUGUAUCUCAAGGCCGGAUGUGUUAUGGGACCAACAGGUUCAUAUUCCACUGUGUAGUAACAGGCCAAUGCACUGAGACAGCCAGGAGGCAGCAGAGAAAGUGUAAUGAUUGCAGGGCUCCUAGCAAGGAGAUGGGAGGAGACCCUAAAAUCCAUCUCCCUGAGAGUUCUGAGUUGGGGUUUUAAAGGGGAUCUUGGAAGGUGAGGGGGCUGGAAAAUUGGGGUCAUUGAUUGGUCAGGGCGAGGAGGAUGAAAUCAUCAGGAUGUGGAGCCUGUGUGCUUUGGUGAGUCAGUUUCUUGUGGGGUCCUUCAGACCUGCUGAUGCUGGUGGUUUUAGUGGCAUGCAGAAUGUGAAAGAAUAUCUCAAAGGAAAACAACAUUUCAUAAGGUUCCAGUUGUUAACUCUAGAGCAGAUAAGGGGAUCUAUAAUCUUGUAACAGGGUCUAUGUGAUUCUAGGACAAGAGACAAACAACAACAAGGAAAUACGUCAGAGAACAGGCUGCCCUCACGAUCAAUGCUGGGUGUGUUGCAAGCUUGUUUCAGUCUCAUUUCUCUCCCUCCCUUCUUCCCUGAUUACUUUAAUGAAGUUUAUUGGGACGGUUUCAGAUGCUCAACUUUCCAUAUGAUUAGGUGAGUGACCCAGAACCCUUCCAAAGUACCCUGUGGACUCAACCCUCUGCUUGAACAACGUACAAGAUAAUAUGAGACAUUUAUUUAUUGAGGACCUUCUAAGCACCUGGCACUGUGCCAGACUCUUUCAGAUGUAUAAAAUUUCACUUUCUCCUGAUGAUUCUGGAAAGGAAUGACGGCAUCUUAUGAAGCUGUAGCAGAUGCUGUCCUGGCCUCGCUCACAUCUCUCAGACGUGUUGGAGUGCCCCGGCUGCUGCUCUGCACGUGUAGCUGAGGUCCUGGUGGAAAAAUACCACCGGAGCUCUCUGAAGCUGGGGUGGAAUAAUUCCAAAGCGUGUGUUUUGCCUCCUUUCCCAGUGUCUGCCCAUGGGGCUAAGCUCUGGUCACCUGCUCCUGUCGCUGGUCUUGUGACACACAUGUGGCAGGAUGUCACCCUUUCCCUGGGUUGUGUCCACUUUCCUUGUUGUGUUAUUCAUGCUCUCCAAAUAAAAUGCUUUCACUC